rnacentral:rRNA from 1 species
AGAACGAACGCUGGCGGCAUGCCUAACACAUGCAAGUCGAACGCUUGCCCGGUUUCGGCCGGGCAGGAGUGGCGCACGGGUGAGUAGCGCGUGGGAACCUGCCCUGUUGUGGGGGAUAACCGAGGGAAACUUCGGCUAAUACCGCAUGCGCCCCGGGGAAACCCGGGGGAAAGAUUUAUCGCAGCAGGAGGGGCCCGCGUCGGAUUAGCUAGUUGGUGGGGUAACGGCCCACCAAGGCUGUGAUCCGUAGCUGGUCUGAGAGGAUGAUCAGCCACACUGGGACUGAGACACGGCCCAGACUCCUACGGGAGGCAGCAGUGGGGAAUAUUGGACAAUGGGCGCAAGCCUGAUCCAGCAAUGCGCGUGAGUGAUGAAGGCCUUAGGGUUGUAAAGCUCUUUCGCCCGCGACGAUGAUGACGGUAGCGGGAGAAGAGCCCGGCUAACUUCGUGCCAGCAGCCGC